AUUGAACGCUGGCGGCAGGCCUAACACAUGCAAGUCGAGCGGUUGACGGGAGCUUGCUCCCUGAUUCAGCGGCGGACGGGUGAGUAAUGCCUAGGAAUCUGCCUAUUAGUGGGGGACAACGUUUCGGAAGGAACGCUAAUACCGCAUACGUCCUACGGGAGAAAGCAGGGGACCUUCGGGCCUUGCGCUAAUAGAUGAGCCUAGGUCGGAUUAGCUUGUUGGUGAGGUAAUGGCUCACCAAGGCGACGAUCCGUAACUGGUCUGAGAGGAUGAUCAGUCACACUGGAACUGAGACACGGUCCAGACUCCUACGGGAGGCAGCAGUGGGGAAUAUUGGACAAUGGGCGAAAGCCUGAUCCAGCCAAGCCGCGUGUGUGAAGAAGGUCUUCGGAUUGUAAAGCUCUUUAAGUUGGGAGGAAGGGUUGUAGAUUAAUACUCUGCAAUUUUGACGUUACCGACAGAAUAAGCACCGGCUAACUCUGUGCCAGCAGCCGCAGUAAGAC
rnacentral:rRNA from 1 species